CUAAGGCGGUUUAUCCUCCCAGCCCCGUGUGAACGUUACCAAACUGUUGCCUCGGCGGGGUCACGCCCCGGGUGCGUCGCAGCCCCGGAACCGGGCGCCCGCCGGAGGAACCAACCGAACUCUUUCUGUAGUCCCCUCGCGGACGUAUUUCUUACGUGUCUGAUCAAAAUUUCAAAAUGAAUCACAACUUUCGGGUUCGGAUCUCUUGGUUCUGGCAUCAAUGAAGAACGCACCGAAAUGCGAUAAGUAAUGUGAAUUGCACAAUUCAGUGAAUCAUCCAAUCUUUGAACGCACAUUGCGCCCGCCAGUAUUCUGGCGGGCAUGCCUGUCCGAGCGUCAUUUCAACCCUCGAACCCCUCCGGGGGAUCGGCGUUGGGGAUCGGGACCCCUCACACGGGUGCCGGCCCCUAAAUACAGUGGCGGUCUCGCCGCAGCCUCUCCUGCGGAGUAGUUUGGACAACUCGCACCGGGAGCGCGGGGCGUCCGCGUCCGCCAAACACCCAACUUUCUGAAAUGUUGACCUCGGAUCAGGUAGGAAUACCCGCUGAACUUAAGCAUAUCAAUAAGCGGAGGAAA
rnacentral:rRNA from 1 species